rnacentral:lncRNA from 1 species
UCUGCUGGGUUGGCUAAGCUCCUAAUUAAAUUAUAAAUGUGGCCAUAUGUUGUGCUGAAAGUCUGAUUAUUAAUUACUUAUUAAUUACCACAGGGGCAAGCAGGACGAGACGGUUAUCCGGGGCCACUGGGAUUGGAUGGUAAGCCGGGAUUGCCGGGACCUAAAGGUGAAAAGGGAGAGCCAGGAGACUUUGGCCCACGGGUAAGCCCCUCUUGAAUGCACUCUAACACGCCUGAAACCGUGGAGCGUAUGCCUCCUUUAAUAGGCUAAGCUUAAGUAGCCAGAUG